GGAGAGGAGUUGGUAACGGACACGACGCAGAGAGAGGCACCGAAUGAAACCUAUUCUGAACAGAUGUUAGUAUUUUACAAAAGUCACGUGAAAUGAACAGAUGUUGUUGUAGAACAGGGACUCGCCUUGGUUCGAGAGCAUUCCUCGACAGAAAGGCUUCGAAAUAAGAUCGGAGAGAAGCAUUAGCGUUCUAUUCACAACAAAAAACGACUCAGCACAUCGUGUGGGUGAUAAUAGAUUACCACGGGCCUCACCUGCGAUGGAACCUCGGUCUACGUCCCAUAGGAAAUCUAUCAAACUAAAAUGGACGGUUCCAACCGCGCAGGAAUUUGCUGGAGAUGGGGCAGGGGCGUUUGUGAAGCAGGUCGUCAACAGGCUGACUCAUCACAUAUGGCCCCAGAACCGUGUCCUUCUGCCAAGAUGACACUACACAGGAUAUAGUCCACAUCAUCAGCCACCUGGUCAGGUGACCCUGAUAACAACAACAACAACAACAAGGAACAAACAAAAGUUGAUUGGAUGGUGUAAGAGAUGAUCCUGACUGCAAGUUUCCAUUGUGGUCCGACUGAAUCUACCAAUGGAUAUCCUGGUGUAUCUGCUUCUGGACUGAACAGGGCUGGAGAGGACCACAGUUCCUCUCAACAAAUAGGCCCACAUCAAUGAACUUCUCCAGAUGAGACCGUGUGGAAUACUGAUGUGAUACUCAUACAUGCAAAAUGCUACUACAGGAUAGAAUAGCAUGGAGAACUUUAUGACACAAACAA